UAUAGUUCUAUAAGAGUCUGACUACUAUGCUAUCAGUAGCACCAAGCACUUUGUACUACCAAGUUUACGCUGUUAGAUCUACCCCUUUGACUAUUCCUACCUGUUAAAUCAUAUUAUUCAACCACCCACCAACUCAAUCUUAGAAAGUCACUAUCAUUCUAACUGCACAUCUUUUAAUAUAAGAGCCGAAAACUUAAUAGCACAAAUAACUUAAUGCUAUAUAUUAAUAGCAUAGUAAUCUAGUUACAUAUAUAUAAUUCUAUAUGAUUUCGACUACUAUACUAUCGAUAGUACCAAGCUCUUAAUAUUAAUGAGUUUUCUGCCGUUAGAUCUAUCUUUGAUCAUUUUCACUUGUUAAAUUAUACUAUUCAACUAACCAUCUACUCAACUCUAAAAAAUUACUAUCAUCCUAACCGCACAUUCUUUCAUCCAACAGUCGAAAACUCGAUAGUACUAAGCGCUUGGUACUAUCGAUAGUAUAGUAGCAUGAUUCUCUAUAUAUAUAUACAAGAAUAAAGUCACUAGAAACUAUCAUCCUAACCGCACAUUGUUUUAUCCAAUAGCCGAAAACUCGAUAGUACCAAGUGCUUAAUUUGUAUAUCGAUAUAGCAUGAUUCUAUAUAUAUACAUGAAAAAAGCCACGGGA
rnacentral:lncRNA from 1 species